UACAGAGGGUGCGAGCGUUGUCCGGAAUCACUGGGCGUAAAGGGCGCGUAGGUGGCGACCCAAGUCGAUGGUGAAAGCUCGCCGCUCAACGGCGAGUCGGCCACUGAUACUGGGUUGCUGGAGCACUGUAGAGGCAGAUGGAAUUCCGGGUGUAGCGGUGGAAUGCGUAGAGAUCCGGAAGAACACCGGUGGCGAAGGCGGUCUGCUGGGCAGUGGCUGACGCUGAGGCGCGACAGCGUGGGGAGCAAACAGG
rnacentral:rRNA from 1 species